rnacentral:misc_RNA from 1 species
UCCUCUCUCCAAUCUUCGGGUUGGGUGUUGGACCGCGUUGUGGUUCGCCCGCAACUGGUCUCAAAGACAAUGGACGGCGUCCGUGGGACCCUCUUCGCAACGAGUCUUUCGAGGCACGCGGGGAGUUGCAAGGUCUCGUCGGGCCGGUCUAACCUUUUUUAUUUCUCA